UACGAAGGGGGCUAGCGUUGCUCGGAAUCACUAGGCGUAAAGCGCACGUAGGCGGCUUUUUAAGUCAGGGGUGAAAUCCUGGAGCUCAACUCCAGAACUGCCUUUGAUACUGGGAAGCUUGAGUCCGGGAGAGGUGAGUGGAACUCCGAGUGUAGAGGUGAAAUUCGUAGAUAUUCGGAAGAACACCAGUGGCGAGGGCGGCUCACUGGCCCGGUACUGACGCUGAGGUGCGAAAGCGUGGGGAGCAAACAGG
rnacentral:rRNA from 1 species